AUGGACUCCGGCAAUAGCGGCAGCCUCCAGUCGUCCAGCGGCGGCGACGACGAUUUCGACUCGCGGGGAGGCGGCGUCGACUCCUCGCCGCUCUCCGCGCUGCUCCAGCCGACGCCCUCGCCCUCGGCGGUCGGGGCCUUCUCGAUGCACGGAUCGCUCUAUGGCCUUCAGGAUUUCACCUCCGCCCCGCCGCAGCAGCAGCAACAGCAACAGCACCACCAGCAACACCAGCAGCAGCAGGCGUCCUGGUCGGCGCAGUUCAUGGCGGGGCCGGCUUCCUCGUCGACGCGUGUCGGGCCGACCGACGCGGGCAUGGGCGGCGCGAGCGCGCAUCAGGCGCCUGAUCCGUCAGCUGCGGCCGCGACGGCGCCGCCGAGGGGGUCGCGGAAGCGGGCGCGCGCGUCGCGGCGUGCCCCCACGACGGUGCUCACCACCGACACCUCAAACUUCCGCGCCAUGGUGCAGGAGUUCACCGGCAUCCCUAACCCGCCCUUCGCUGCCGGCGCUGGAGGCCCCGGUGCGUCUUUCAACUCCCGCUUCGACCACAUCUUCUCGUCCUCCGCCCUCCGCUCCGCCGCCGGUGCGACCGGCGAUCCAGUCUCCUCGCUGCCGCCGUACCUCCUCCGUCCUUUUGCGCAGAAGCUCCAGACGGCACCUUCGCCUUUCGCGCCCUUCACGUCCCCGUCCUCGUCAACACCUCCGUCGUCGAACAUGGGCAUCGCCAAUGCCAAUGCCAGGGCGGCGGCCACGGCCGCCGCCACCACAACAGCGUCUGCCAAUCAGCGCGGCGUCGCCGGCGAUGACUUCCAGCUGACGUCCUCGGCGCUUCUGCGGAUGCAGGACCACAGCAGCAACUACCUGUCCUUCCAGAACCUCCUCGGCUCCACGCAGCCUUCGUCGCAGCACAUGUUCGGCGCCAUGUCGCAUGGAGCAUCGAGGCUGCACGACCAAUCGCCGUCGGAGUUCAUGCCAGGCGCCGGCAGCGGCAGCAUGGGGCUCACCCACGGCGGGAUGAUGGUCUCCGAGGGGAUGCACAUGCACCAACAACAAAGAAGCGACGUCCACCAGGGCGGCGACGAGCUGUCGGGCGUGGUCCGGGCCGGCGCGUCCGGGAGCGGCGGCGGCGGCUGCAAGCUGAACUACCCGCCCUACACCGGGGCGCCAUCGUCAUCCGCGGCAGCCAGCACCGACAUGCCACCGGACGGAGCCUCCCGGAGCAGCCGCGGCGAGGGCCUAGACCCAUGGCUUUGUACAUCCGAGUAG
rnacentral:rRNA from 1 species